rnacentral:rRNA from 1 species
UGCAAGUCGAACGGCAGCGCGGGUAGCAACCUGGCGGCGAGUGGCGCACGGGUGCGUAACGCGUAUGCAACCUACCUCUCACAGGGAUAGCUCGGAGAAAUCCGAAUUCACGCCGCAUAAUAUCGCGAGAGGGCAUCUGAUUGCUUAAAUCUACGGAGGUGAGAGAUGGGCAUGCGUCUGAUUAGUUAGUUGGCGGGGUAACCCCACCAAGACGAUGAUCAGUAGGGGGUCUGAGAGGAUGAUCCCCCACACUGGUACUGAUACGGACCAGACUCCUACGGGAGGCAGCAGUAGGGAAUAUUGGGCAAUGGGCGCGAGUGACCCAGCCAUGCCGCGUGCAGGAAGAAGGCCUUAUGGGUUGUAAACUGCUUUUGAUGGAACAAAGAGGCCAUGCGUGGCAAGUUGAGUGUACCGAUAGAAUAAGCACCGGCUAACCGUGCCAGCAGCCGCGGUAAUACGGAGGGUGCAAGCGUUGUCCGGAUUUAUUGGGUUAAGGGUGCGUAGGCGGCCCGUUAAGUCAGUGGUGAAAUCCUGCAGCUUAACUGUAGAAGCCAUUGAUACUGAUGGGCUUGAGUUCAGACGAGGUAGGCGGAAUUUAUGGUGUAGCGGAAAUGCAUAGAUACCAUAAAGAACACCGAUUGCGAAGGCAGCUUACUAGACUGAAACACGCUGAGGCACGAAAGCGUGGGGAUCAAACAGGAUUAGAUACCCUGGUAGUCCACGCUAAACGAUGAAGACUCGAUGUGUGCGAUAGACAGCACGCGUCCAAGCGAAAGCGUUAA